GACGAACCGUGCGAACGUUGUUCGGAAUUAUUGGGCGUAAAGCGCGUGUAGGCGGCUUUGCAAGUCGGAUGUGAAAGCCCUUGGCUUAACUGAGGAAGUGCAUCCGAAACUGGCAGGCUAGAGUACUAAAGAGGGUCGCGGAAUUCCCGGUGUAGAGGUGAAAUUCGUAGAUAUUCGGCGGAACACCAGUGGCGAAGGCGACUCACUGGCCCGAUACUGACGCUGAGGCGCGAAAGCGUGGGGAGCAAACAGG
rnacentral:rRNA from 1 species